AUUGUACCUCCGAGCAGAGGGAAUGGAGAAGGCAACCUUGGAAUGAGGGCAGCCAAUUAGGAAUAGUGAUGAUGGUUACAUUAACCCAGCGGCCGUACUGUGAGGAAGCCUGAGUAACCAUAAGUACAUGUCCUCAUGGAAGAGAAUGGAAGGCUCUGGCUAACAGCCCCAGCUGAGCUCCCAGCUGGUAGUCAGCAUCAGUUUUGUGCUUUUAAAGCCUUUUGGAUCAUGCAGCCAUUUCAGCAUCCCAACAUACCAUGAAAAACACAGAUACACCCAACCAGCCCACAUGUGCAGAGGUAUGUAACUGGUGUUAGCAUGUGAUUCUCUGUUAGGGAAAAGACUAAGACCUGGUCAGAUAAUCAGGAUGAGUUCUGAGGGAUCAGGGAAAAAGGGCACCAGGGAGGGCAAAGCAAGUUUGGCAUUUUAAACUCUAAACUGUUUAGUUCCUCAUGGGGAAUCUAGGUGAUUUUUCUGCAAUUAUACAAGUAAUGAUCUUACAUACACUCCAGGCCGAAGAAGGAGAAAGGCUAGUUUAUUAGCUAAAAAUCAUGUCUUACUUUUAGCCAAUCAAUACAUAGAGAAGCCAGAAGAGCUUGCUAAACUCCUCAACCUCAAUAAUUUAAGUGCACCCAAAGGACACCUGGGGUGGGUGGGGAUCAGGGCUUCACCCUAUUCAGCUUGUUCUACUGGUUUCUCAAAGAGCAUUAAUCAUGUCUCUUUCCUCCUUUAGCACUAAUUUUGUUCUAUUAGUCUGCCCAGCCACCCACCCAUCACCUCCUCUUGCUAGUCUAGAGAGGGCUUCUAAUCCUCUUAUUGGAGGAGGUAGUUUGAGGCAACCUCUCCUCAGGAGUGCAAAGUCUGCUGUCUACAAGAUGUUUCUAUAUUUUAUUGCAGUAUUAAUGCUGUUUCACUUAGUAUUUUAAAGGCUGUAUGCUAAAAUAUUAAGUCUAUUUUUCCUGUUCUCAGUUGCUCUAUAGAAAGCAGCCUUAUUUUUCUUUGCAUUGUAUAUUCCGUAUCCUAGGCAACCCUUCCUUGCCUCCCCCCUGCCCACCCCACACCAACCUGUCACAAAAAGACAGCCUUAGGUUGCAGAUUACUAGGUCUUUUUGGUGAUUGCUAUCAGAAUAUUUUUGGGCCCUCCACUUCACUUAGGGAAUUAGUCUGCUCUACAGAUAGGAAUCCCCCCUUUUUUUCACCCAUAAAGGAAAUAUACCUUUGUUUCUAUUACUGACUUACCAGUAAGAUGUUCUUAAAUUACUUUCCAUGCAGUUCAGAAUGACUAAUCUUAUUGGCCUAGAGAAUUUGCUUGGAUUGAUAAAGUUUUUCCCUUUAUUAAAAUUUUACCACAAAGUCUCAAGAUCCUGAAAUAUCUGCAAGAGAAGUUUCAGGGGCAGGAGAUUCGUUAGGGUGUUCUCUCCAUGGCGUGGUAAAACCUCUGCUCGUCUAACUCUGGACCAGGGGCCACUGCUUGUGUAAGUAUCCUUGACAUAGUCUCUCCUGGAUUCCUGGGGUCACUGAGCUUGCUCCUUUACUUCUUAUGUUAGAAGCUGCUACUGGCGACUUUGUAAUUUAAAGGUUUGGUGAAGUGUACUUGCCCCUAAAGCUAUUAACUUUACUAAGUAACUUGUAAGAAUCUUAAUUUGAACAUCCAAAGAGGUAUGACUUUUUAAAAAAAUUAAAAUAAGGAUAUUCUAACAAAAGGGAAAUAUUUUUCUGCAGUAAAACCGAAAUGAAGGAGUUCCUGUCAUGGCUCAGUGGUUAAUGAAUCCGACUAGGAACCAUGAGAUUGUAGGUUCGAUCCCUGGCCUUGCUUAGUGGAUUAAGGAUCUGACGUUGCCGUGAGCUGUGGCGUAGGUGCCAAACACAGCUCAGAUACUGCGUUGCUGUGGCUCUGGCAUAGGCCGCCAGCUACAGCUCUGAUUAGACCCCUAGCCUGGGAACCUCCACAUGCCGCGGGAGCGGCCCUAGAAAAACAGGCAAAAAAAGACAAAAAAAAAAAAA
rnacentral:lncRNA from 1 species